GGGGGAUAACCAUUGGAAACGAUGGCUAAUACCGCAUAAUGCCUACGGGCCAAAGAGGGGGACCUUCGGGCCUCUCGCGUCAGGAUAUGCCUAGGUGGGAUUAGCUAGUUGGUGAGGUAAUGGCUCACCAAGGCGACGAUCCCUAGCUGGUCUGAGAGGAUGAUCAGCCACACUGGAACUGAGACACGGUCCAGACUCCUACGGGAGGCAGCAGUGGGGAAUAUUGCACAAUGGGCGCAAGCCUGAUGCAGCCAUGCCGCGUGUGUGAAGAAGGCCUUCGGGUUGUAAAGCACUUUCAGUCGUGAGGAAGGUGGUGUAGUUAAUAGCUGCAUUAUUUGACGUUAGCGACAGAAGAAGCACCGGCUAACUCCGUGCCAGCAGCCGCGGUAAUACGGAGGGUGCGAGCGUUAAUCGGAAUUACUGGGCGUAAAGCGCAUGCAGGUGGUUUGUUAAGUCAGAUGUGAAAGCCCGGGGCUCAACCUCGGAAUAGCAUUUGAAACUGGCAGACUAGAGUACUGUAGAGGGGGGUAGAAUUUCAGGUGUAGCGGUGAAAUGCGUAGAGAUCUGAAGGAAUACCGGUGGCGAAGGCGGCCCCCUGGACAGAUACUGACACUCAGAUGCGAAAGCGUGGGGAGCAAACAGGAUUAGAUACCCUGGUAGUCCACGCCGUAAACGAUGUCUACUUGGAGGUUGUGGCCUUGAGCCGUGGCUUUCGGAGCUAACGCGUUAAGUAGACCGCCUGGGGAGUACGGUCGCAAGAUUAAAACUCAAAUGAAUUGACGGGGGCCCGCACAAGCGGUGGAGCAUGUGGUUUAAUUCGAUGCAACGCGAAGAACCUUACCUACUCUUGACAUCCAGAGAACUUUCCAGAGAUGGAUUGGUGCCUUCGGGAACUCUGAGACAGGUGCUGCAUGGCUGUCGUCAGCUCGUGUUGUGAAAUGUUGGGUUAAGUCCCGCAACGAGCGCAACCCUUAUCCUUGUUUGCCAGCGAGUAAUGUCGGGAACUCCAGGGAGACUGCCGGUGAUAAACCGGAGGAAGGUGGGGACGACGUCAAGUCAUCAUGGCCCUUACGAGUAGGGCUACACACGUGCUACAAUGGCGCAUACAGAGGGCAGCAAGCUAGCGAUAGUGAGCGAAUCCCAAAAAGUGCGUCGUAGUCCGGAUUGGAGUCUGCAACUCGACUCCAUGAAGUCGGAAUCGCUAGUAAUCGUGGAUCAGAAUGCCACGGUGAAUACGUUCCCGGGCCUUGU
rnacentral:rRNA from 6 species